GCACAUCUCAAUUACAUCUCAAGAAUGAAACCACAAAAAGAAUGAAAAAAAAUCAUCCAUUGUCUAGUCUAAGAUCUGCGCGCCACCUAAACCGGUUGUAAAACCGUCUCUAUACGCCUGUCCCUAGGAUCCAUAGACUCCUUGACCACCAUCGAAGCAGUGGGGAACAGAACGGAACGCGUCGCCCGACAGACCACUUGCAACA
rnacentral:lncRNA from 1 species